AUGUUGCGCAGGGUCCUCGCCGGAGCGAUCGCGCGCCUCUCCGGCCCCGGAUUCUCCAACCCACCGCCGAGGAGACGGCCUCUCCUCCCGCCCAACGCCCCGCGCCUCUCCACCGCGCGGGUGCCGUCCGGCGGCGGCGAGGGCAGCGAGGGGGAGGAUGACGACGACCCGUUCUCCUUCCCGGACCAGCAGCAGCUCCCGCCGGACGUGGCGCGCGGCGUGGACGCCGUCGUCGCGGCGGCCGAGGGCGCCCACCUGGACGCCGCGCGCGCCGGGGCGCUCCUGGAGCAAUGCGGCGCCGCGGCCUCGGAGACGCUCGUGGUGGCCGCGCUCUCGCGCCUCCGCAACAGCUGGGCCGCCGCGCACGCCGCAUUCCGGUGGGCCGCCGCGCGGGGGCGGCCGCAGCCCGGGUACGCCCCCGGGCGCCACGCGUGCCACUCCAUGCUCGCCAUCCUCGCCAGGCACCGCCGCUUCGACGACGCGCGCGCCCUGCUCGACGAAAUGCGCCGCAGGUCGCUCGCGUCGCCGAGGGCGGUGCUCCUCCUAAUCCGGCGCUACUGCGCCGCGCGGGACGUUGCUAGCGCGAUCGCCGCGUUCCGCGCACUCCCGAGCUUCGGCAUUGAGCCCGGGGUCGUCCAGUUCCAUGGCCUCCUCGGCGCCCUCUGCCGGUACAAGAACGUCAAGGACGCGGAGCACCUGCUUCUGUCCAGCGAGAGGGAGUUCCCGUUCGAGACCAAGGGCUUCAACAUCGUGCUCAACGGCUGGUGCAACAUGGUCUGCAGCGUGCGGGAGGCCAAGAGGUUUUGGACCGUCAUGGAGCUCAGGGGUGUCGCGAGGGACGUUGUGUCUUAUGGGAGUAUGAUCUCGUGCUUCUCGAAGGCUGGGAGCUUGGAUUCGGUCAUGAAGCUCUUUAACCGCAUGAAGGAGGCCGGCAUCGUGCCAGACCGGAAGGUGUACAAUGCAGUUGUGCACGCGCUCGCUAAGGGACGGUGUGUGGACGAGGCAAGGGCUCUUGUCCGGAGCAUGGAGGAGAAGGGGGUUACACCGGACACGGCCACUUACAACUCCCUCAUUCGGCCUCUUUGCAAGGCUCGUCAGGUCCAGGAGGCAAGGGAGAUGUUUGAUGAGAUGGUAGGAAGGGGGCUGUUGGCAUCAGUGAGGACAUUCCAUGCAUUGUUCGAUGUUGCUACGAGCCCCACUGAGGUCUUUGAUCUGUUGGAUAAGAUGAAGACACUGCAUUGCGAGCCAGAGAUGGACACUUAUAUUAUGUUGAUCCGGAAGUUCUGCAGGUGGAAGCAGCACGACAGUGUGGAGAAACUGUGGAACGCAAUGCCUGCAAACGGGCUGACCCCUGAUCGGAGUGCGUACAUUGUGUUCAUACAUGGAUUGUUCCUGAAUGGGAAGCUAGAGGAAGCUGCAAAGUAUUAUGAGGAGAUGAAAGCCAAGGGAUUUUCACCUGAGGAGAAGACUGAAUCAAUGAUACAGGCGUGGCGUUCAGGCAGAGAGCUCGCCAAGGCGUCAGCUUCUGCCGGUUCAAGAAGUGGUUCGGUGUCUCUCAAAGUAACUCGUAGAGAGUGGUAA
rnacentral:rRNA from 1 species